UACGGGGGGGGCAAGCGUUGUUCGGAAUUAUUGGGCGUAAAGAGCUCGUAGGCGGUCUGUCGCGUCGGAUGUGAAAAUCCAGGGCUCAACCCUGGACCUGCAUUCGAUACGGGCAGACUAGAGUUCGGUAGGGGAGACUGGAAUUCCUGGUGUAGCGGUGAAAUGCGCAGAUAUCAGGAGGAACACCGGUGGCGAAGGCGGGUCUCUGGGCCGAAACUGACGCUGAGGAGCGAAAGCGUGGGGAGCGAACAGG
rnacentral:rRNA from 1 species